UACGAAGGGGGCUAGCGUUGUUCGGAAUUACUGGGCGUAAAGCGCACGUAGGCGGAUAUUUAAGUCAGGGGUGAAAUCCCAGAGCUCAACUCUGGAACUGCCUUUGAUACUGGGUAUCUAGAGUAUGGAAGAGGUGAGUGGAAUUCCGAGUGUAGAGGUGAAAUUCGCAGAUAUUCGGAGGAACACCAGUGGCGAAGGCGGCUCACUGGUCAAUUCCUGACGCUGAGGUGCGAAAGCGUGGGGAGCAAACAGG
rnacentral:rRNA from 1 species